UACGUAGGGUGCGAGCGUUAAUCGGAAUUACUGGGCGUAAAGCGUGCGCAGGCGGCCAUGCAAGACAGAUGUGAAAUCCCCGGGCUCAACCUGGGAACUGCAUUUGUGACUGCAUGGCUGGAGUGCGGCAGAGGGGGAUGGAAUUCCGCGUGUAGCAGUGAAAUGCGUAGAUAUGCGGAGGAACACCAAUGGCGAAGGCAAUCCCCUGGGCCUGCACUGACGCUCAUGCACGAAAGCGUGGGGAGCAAACAGG
rnacentral:rRNA from 1 species